UCGACUAUACUUUCAGGGAUCAUUUCUAUAGUAUGCAACUAGAGAAGUUUCUCUGAUUGUGCAGAGCACCCGAAGCCAUGAGGAGGAGCCAGAGCCUCCUCUCCUGAGCGUGAAGCCGGCUCUAGGUGAAGAUUCUGCGACUGUCUUUUGCAAUUGAUGAUCGUUCAUCCCUUUCUUCCUCUCCCUAGAGGGAAAGGAUGCAGUCUGAUAGGU